rnacentral:rRNA from 1 species
GACGAACGCUGGCGGCGUGCUUAACACAUGCAAGUCGAACGGAAAGGCCCUGCUUUUGUGGGGUGCUCGAGUGGCGAAAGGGUGAGUAACACGUGAGUAACCUGCCCUUGACUUUGGGAUAACUUCAGGAAACUGGGGCUAAUACCGGAUAGGAGCUCCUGCUGCAUGGUGGGGGUUGGAAAGUUUCGGCGGGUGGGGAUGGACUCGCGGCUUAUCAGCUUGUUGGUGGGGUAGUGGCUUACCAAGGCUUUGACGGGUAGCCGGCCUGCGAGGGUGACCAGCCACUUUACGCGAUUGCUUCGUGGCGGCCUCCUACAGGCGGCAGCAGUCGGCAUUAAUGCACAAUGGUUGGGAGUAUUAAUCAGCAUCGCCGAUUUCGUGAUGACGGCGUUCGGGUGGUAAAUUGCUUUAGAAUGUGGCGAAGGUUUUGUGACUGUAAUGGAUAAAGAAGGAUCGGCUGACUGUC